GCGUGGGAACCUGCCUUUAGGUUCGGAAUAACAGUUAGAAAUGACUGCUAAUACCGGAUAAUGUCUUCGGACCAAAGAUUUAUUGCCUUUAGAUGGGCUCGCGUUAGAUUAGAUAGUUGGUGGGGUAACGGCCUACCAAGUCGACGAUCUAUAGCUGGUCUGAGAGGAUGAUCAGCCACACUGGGACUGAGACACGGCCCAGACUCCUACGGGAGGCAGCAGUGGGGAAUAUUGCGCAAUGGGCGAAAGCCUGACGCAGCCAUGCCGCGUGUGUGAAGAAGGCCUUAGGGUUGUAAAGCA
rnacentral:rRNA from 1 species